GAUGAACGCUGACAGAAUGCUUAACACAUGCAAGUCAACUGUGGCGGACGGGUGAGUAACGCGUAAAGAACUUGCCUCACAGCUAGGGACACCAUUUGGAAACGAAUGAUAAUACCUGAUACUGUGAGAGGGGUUUGCGUCCAAGUAGCUAGUUGGCGAGGUAACGGCGCACAAAGGCGAGGAUGGGUAGCCGGCCUGAGCGGGUGAUCGGCCACAAGGGGACAGAGACGAGACCCUUACGACUGCGGGGGGCAGCAGUGGGGAAUAGUGGACAAUGGGCCAAAGUCUGAUCAAGCAAUUCUGUGUGUACGAUGAAGUUUUCGGAAUGUAAAGUGCUGUCAGUUGGGGAACGGUACCAACAGAAGAAGUGACGGCUAAAUACGUGCCAGCAGCCGCGGUAAUAC
rnacentral:rRNA from 1 species